rnacentral:rRNA from 1 species
AUACGUAGGGGACAAGCGUUAUCCGGAUUUACUGGGCGUAAAGGGCGUGUAGGCGGUCUUGCAAGUCAGAAGUGAAAUUCCUGAGCUCAAGUCGGGCGCUGCUUCUGAAACUGCAGGACUUGAGUGCUGGAGGGGAGAGCGGAAUUCCCAGUGGAACGGUAAAAUGCGCAGAUAUUAGGAAGAACACCGGUGGCGAAGGCGGCUAUCUGGACAGUAACUGACGCUGAGGCGCGAAAGCUUGGGGAGCAAACAGGAUUAGAUUCCCUGGUAGUCCACGCCGUAAACGAUGAAUACUAGGUGUAGGGGGUAUCGACUCCCUCUGUGCCGCAGUUAACACAAUAAGUAUUCCGCCUGGGGAGUACGGCCGCAAGGUUGAAACUCAAAUGAAUUGACGGGG